rnacentral:pre_miRNA from 1 species
CAUCGUAACGCCCCCGGAACCCAAAGACACGUGCCCGUGGUCUUAAGAUCGGGCGUGUUCUUUGGAUUCCGUCUCGUUACGAUG